AUGGCCUCUUCCAAGCUCCUGACCGCCGCCGUGAGCUCCUCCAUCCGGCGCUUCUACCGCCUCGCCUCCUCCCCCCUCCUGCCGCCGCCCGCCUCCCGCCGCCUCCCGGGGCCACUCCUCUCCGCACGCUUCUGCUCCGCCGCCGCCGCCGCCACCACGCCGGUGGACGCCGCCGCCCCCGCCCCCGCCUACUCGGCCCUCGCCGCCGCCACCACGCCGGUGGAUGCCGCCUCCUCCGCCGUCGCCGCGGUCUCCGAGGGCCACCCGUGGCCGGAGUGGGCCGACUUCCUCGAGAAGCUGCGGGCCAAGGGGUACUUCGUGCGGCCCCCUCUCGCCUCCGGCGCCCCCGUGGGCGAGGAGGUGGCCGCGGAUGCCGUGGCCAAGCCCGACUACCCCUUCAGGGACCAGAACAGGGUGAAGAACGCGUGCCUCAAGUUCGCGCGCGAGCGCUUUGAUCUUCUCAGCUCUCUUCCCAAGAAGGAUAUUCAAGCUAUUGUCGAGUGUGGCUGUCCUAAUAUCUUCCGAAAGGCUGUCAGUUCUGCAAAAAGGCUGAGAGAAUUUGUGCAGGUUGACGAAGGAGAUGCAUGCAGUGUUUGCAAAUUGCGUGGGUCUUGUGAUAAGGCUUAUGUCAUUCCAAAAGCUGAGGAAGCAGCUCGUACCGUUGAUGUUGUGCGCAUACUGCUAACUUAUGCAAUAGAUCCAGCCAACCUAUCUGGAGAAAAUUCUGUUGGUGGGGGUGUGCAAGAAUCUGCAAAGAAGCUUCUCUCAGAUCUGACUAUGCUUUGUGACACAACAAUUGAUCCAUCUCUUCCUAAACCUGUAAUUCACACUUAUAGCAAGCAGGAUUCAUCAACCAAACCUGACAAGGGCAAACAAUCAUCUAGGGUUUCAGCUGGAAAGGGUAGAGAAACAGCUGUGACUGAAAUGAAGAAGGGUGACUGGCUUUGCCCGAACUGCAACUUCUUAAAUUUUGCUCGAAAUCGUCAAUGUCUCGAAUGCAAAGUUGAUGGACCAAAGAAGAUAGAAGCAGCCAUCAGUGAAAUGAAAAUGGGAGAUUGGAUUUGUCCAGGAUGCGCUUUUAUGAACUUCUCUCGCAACAAGAUGUGUUUUAAAUGUGAAGGGCAACGGCCCAAAAGGCAGCUUAACCCUGGAGAGUGGGAAUGCCCCUCAUGUGAUUUUGUUAACUUCCGACGGAACCAGGAGUGCAAAAAGUGCAGCCACGACCGCCCCGAAGACGAUACCCAGGAUAAUAAGCUCGGAUACGAUGUGUGGAGAAACACCAAGGGAGCUAACAAGGAUAGAAGCUUUUACUCUGUUCGUCAGGAAGACGACGACGGCGAUGAAGAGGGGUUGCCAUACAAGGGGGAGGAGCGCAGGCAUGUAGCGAGCAGAAGGGCGUCACCAGCCCGGAGGGAGUUCGCGGGCAAGAGUAGUAACCAUGGCGACGAAGACGAUGCCUUGCCAUACAAGGAGGGAGACAGGCGUGUGUCGAGCAGAAGGGCCUCACCAGCCCGGAAGGGACACGCGAAGAAUGACGGUGAUGAUGAGGAUGUCGAAUUGGAUGUCUCGCCCUAUGAUGGGGCGCGCAAGCAUGGAUCGAGCAGAAGGGCGGCGCCAGGCCGGAGGGGAUUCACCAAGGAUGAAGACGACGUGUUGCCGUAUGAAGGGGCGCGCAAGCAUGUGGUAAGCAGAAGGGCAACCCCAUCCCGGAGGAGAUUCACUGCUGCUAGAGGAGAAUAG
rnacentral:rRNA from 1 species